rnacentral:rRNA from 1 species
UGGGGAAUUUUGCACAAUGGGGGAAACCCUGAUGCAGCGACGCCGCGUGUACGAUGAAGAUCUUCGGAUUGUAAAGUACUGUCCUUGGUGAAGAUAAUGACUGUAACCAAGAAGCAAGCCCUGGCUAAAUACGUGCCAGCAGCCGCGGUAAUACGUAUGGGGCAAGCGUUGUCCGGAAUUAUUGGGCGUAAAGGGUACGUAGGCGGUUAUUUAAGUCUAAAUUAAAAGGCAUUGGCUCAACCAAUGUAAGGUUUAGAUACUGGAUAACUUGAGUAGAUGAGGGGAAAGUGGAAUUCCAUGUGUAGCGGUCAAAUGCGUAGAUAUAUGGAGGAACACCAAUGGCGAAGGCAACUUUCUGGAAUCAAACUGACGCUGAGGUACGAAGGCGUGGGGAGCAAACAGG